rnacentral:rRNA from 1 species
UGCCUAGCCUUAAACAUAAAUUAUUAUAAACAAAAUCACUCGCCAGAGAACUACUAGCAACAGCUAAAAACUCAAAGGACUUGGCGGUGCCCCACAUCCUUCUAGAGGAGCCUGUUCUAUAAUCGAUAAACCCCGCUACACCCGACCAAUCCUUGCUAAAUCAGCCUAUAUACCGCCAUCUUCAGCAAACCCUAAAAAGGAGUUACAGUAAGCAUAAGUAUUAACAUAAAAAAGUUAGGUCAAGGUGUAGCUCAGGGGUUGGAAAGAAAUGGGCUACAUUUUCCCACUGAGGAAAAUAUACGAAAGUUUAUGUGAAAACCACAAACUAAAGGUGGAUUUAGUAGUAAAUUAAGAAUAGAGUGCUUAGUUGAAUUU